rnacentral:misc_RNA from 1 species
GAUGAAGAACGCAGCGAAAUGCGAUAAGUAAUGUGAAUUGCAGAAUUCAGUGAAUCAUCGAAUCUUUGAACGCACCUUGCGCUGCUUGGUAGUCCGAGGAGCAUGCCUGUUUGAGUGUCAUUAAUAUAUCAACCUUCUCUUUUUUGAGUUGUUUGGAUGUGGGGGUUUGCUGGCCUCUUAAAUGAUUCAGCUCCCCUGAAAUGCAUUAGCAGAACAACCUGUUCAUUAGCGUGAUAAUUAUCUAUGCUAUUGAAUGUGAGGGCAGUUCAGCUUUCUAACCGUCCUUGGACAAUUCAUCAUUAAUGUGACCUCAAAUCAGGUAGGACUACCCGCUGAACUUAAGCAUAUCAAUAAGCGGAGGA